UUGCCCAUUUCCUUUAAUUUUUGAGAACAAAGUCAGUAAAUGAAAUCUUGUGCCCUUCAAAACCAAACAUAAUCUUUCUUUGUGCAAAAUGUUACAUAAACCAUAGUGGUUGUUCAUUUUUAUUGUAUUAUUUUUAAUAAUUCUGCAAAUAUUUCAGAAAAGGGCAGUUGGCUCCUACUGCAUUAAAAAAUCAUCACCACAGAGCUGGGUUUUUUACAUCUCCCCUCAUAUAAUUUCAAAAAAAUCCCCAACCACAAUUAGGAAAUUUACCCUCCCACUUCCCUCCCCACAAAAAGAAAAAAAAAUAUUUUUUUUAAUCAAUAAAGUGUUAAACAAAUCAGCAAUCAGCACACAGAGCAGAGCUCAGCAGUAAGACGGGGGAUGCUUUAGAGCACAGGUGAAAUGUUCAUAGCAGCACGGGAGCAGCUCCUGGGCACAGCACAGCCUUCCUGCAGGCCUGGGGCCAGGACCACGGGACUCACACAAAGCACAGGGAGCCCUUUUUGUCCUACAGCAGCGUUUAUCCCCAUCCCAGUGAUGCUUUAGGGUUUUAGCUUUUCUAUUUUUCAAUUCCUGUGCUGCAUUAAUGCAUAAUCUAAACUCCAUACAGAGUGCUGGGUACUGUCUCCACAUUUUGGGCAGACACAACAAUUCCUCUCCAGGCCUGGAACUCAAGGACACCUCACUGCCUCAGGCCCCAAAAAGGAAAACCUAAAGUGAGCUGGGAGAGCAAACUGGGGUAAAUGACUUCAUUACCUGCAGCUGGAAUUGGAGCAUUAACCCAUUAACUGAUAAUUGUGUGAAAACCUCGUGCCCAUCGCCCACCUUGGGUGCAGCCUCUGGAGGCUGUGGCUGCCCAAGCUGUGCCUGCUGAAGGCUUUAAUAAAUCCCCACUUUAUUCCCUUAACCUUGCCUGGCCUCUGCUCUGGGGGCCCCUCCAAAGCAUCAGUUUCCUGCCCCAUCUGGGGUGCCAAAACCACCAAGACAUCACCUCAGCCCGUGUGGGGUCACUUUGUGCCCAUGGAUGGCCCCAGGAGCAGGGGCUGCACCUCUUGGCACUUCCUCAGAAUCCUGACUGCCGAGGGAAUGACUCUGAAAUCCAGGCCAAGCACAACCUAAAGGUUCUCAGGAGUCCCAAAAUCCAGACCCAGCACAACCUAAAGGUUCUCAGGAGUCCCAAAAUCCAGACCCAGGACAAACUAAAGAUUCUCAGGAGUUCUGAAACCAUGGCUAAGCACAGCCUAAAGGUUCUCAGGAGUCUGAAAUCCAGGCCAAAUACAACCUAAAGAUUCUCAGGAGUCCCAAAAUCCAGGUCCAGGACAAACUAAAGAUUCUCAAGAGUCCUGAAACCAAGGCCCAGCACAACCUAAAGGUUCUCAGGAGUCCUGAAAUCCAGGCCCAGCACAACCUAAGGUGCAUCUCCCUUCAGUGAUCAGAAAAUAUCUUCACAUUCUCCAUGCGAGGGACCAUAACCCACCCCAAGGCCCACGUGCAGCUCUGGGGCCUUGGUUCUGCAGCCUGGGUGGUUGGGGAGAAAGCCAAGGAAGGGAGACUGGGGUCACAAAUAUUCCUGGCUUGUUGGGACUUCCAAAACUGAGAAUUCCUAGAUUUUGGAGUGUUGAUGUCAAUUCAGUUUCUUCACUGUAUAUAAAUCAAUCUGUGGUUUCAAUUCUGGGAACAUUCCUCUCCCAGUUUUCCCAUGGGACUGAGUUUUGGCUCCCUCUGAGGGAGGCACAAAAUGAUGGUUUUGUGCCUUCCUAAAUCCAGGUUUCUUCCAAAUGUUCUGCCCCAGGCACCUCACAAUGGAGACAUGAAAACGGGACUUACAGGAUCUGAAGUCCUCUGCUAGGCUUCCACCUUGCCACAUACAAAAUAAACCCCUACAAAUAAGAUAAAGUAAAAAUUAAAUGACUCUAUUAGAUUUAAUGAAGUGACUCGAGACAAAGCAGUUCCAUAAAAAUGCUUUUUUAAAGAAGUAACAGCAAGAGCUCAGAGAAGUGCUGACUGCAGGUACAGUUCUAGCCAAUAUUAAGAUAUAUUUAGUGAUUUCUAGGAAAAUAUUUCCUUGGGAGAAGGUCAGGAGCCAUUUCUGUUGCUUACAACUCCAGGUGCUGUUUCUGAGCUCCAGUGGGUUGGAGUUGCAGAGAAGGCAGCAGGUUUUAUGACAUUUCUUCUGGGCUGUCUCUUGUCUCUGCUCCUGAAUCCUGUGCAGUGCAGGAUGCUGUUCCUCCACAGGUUUCUCACACAACCAUCAAAUAAAAAAAAACAGGCCAAGAAAAAAAAUGUCCAGAACAAAUAACAGUGCUUGGAGUAUGAUCAGGUAAAAAAACCCACAUCCUAAGACAGAGUGUAGGAGUUUCCAUACUGGGCCAUCUGCACACCUCCUGGAACAACCAUCCAGCAGCUGGAUCCACGUACAAAACCAGCUUUAAACCCAGGAUUUUAACCCUAACCAGUCCAGAGCAAGGCCUGACUGAGAAAGCCAGCACUGCUCCCUUUGUGCCAGCGAGGGGUCACAAGAGCCCUGUGAGAAUCCCCUCCCUGCACCACCCAAAAAUGACCUCCUGGGGCUCCUGCACGGAUAAAGGACAUCACCCCAACCUUCUGCUAAAGAAAUCCCUGCUCUGACUUCAGACUCCAUCCCAUCCAGGGCAGAGGAAUCUGUGCCUGAUCUGAGGGGACCUGGGAAGGGCCCUGAAGAGGAAUCAGAACCCCCUGAAUUGCAAGGAUCAUCCAGGCCAGCUCCUGGCCCUGCAAAGAACACCCCAAACCCCACCCUGUGCCAGCAGAGGAGCUGUGUAGGGAUCCACACUGGCACUGUAGGAUUCUGGAUUCCUUUGGAAGGGAAUGAGUUGUACAGACAGAGAGCCCUAAACCUGGCCCUAAACCUGCUCUUUUCCCUUCAGGACAUCUCCAGCUCAGUGAAAUAACUUUGAUCUCCUGCUGGACAAGCACACACAAACUCAGGUCAGUCCAGGGAGCGGGAAGUGCUGGCCAAAAUUCAGGAGCAGCCACCCACGGAGGAAAAUGGAAAGGUUUGGGAGCACAUCCUGACAGAGACCAGGAACUUACAGCAGCAAAAUUCAGAGCCCUUCAGAACCAGCCUCUAUCCAAUCUCCAGGAAAACUGCGGCUCAGGAUGGGCCCAUUCCACAUUUCCAGCCCUGCUGAAGCCAGUGGAGGGUGGAGGGAAGGAGGUGGGAGCAGCUGAGGUGCUGUUGGCAUCACCAAACUCACCCUGAAAGGAGAUUUCUUCCCAAGCAAACCACAGGACAGGCUGGUCCCCUUUAUAUACACACAUGGACAGCUGAAAUGGGCUGAAAUGCUUACAGGUUAGAAGGUCUAUACAACAUUACACCUGCCACAAAUCAAAGUAGAAAAGUUUUACAGCACAUUAUACAGGUCCCUCUAAAGUCUAAAAAAAAAACCAAAAAACAUUGACUGGAAUCACCAUA